CGUGAAGGAGUGUGAACAUUUUCUCUGGUGAAGCAACUGCAGAAUUUCCUUCUGCAUUGGAAACAGCAAGAGGGGGAAUCUUAGAAGAUGCUAUGGGCCUGGGGUAAACUGUAAUGACAAUUGCUCUAAUACUUGCUAGGCCGGGCAAGGGUAUCCCUGAUAAUCAAGAACUUGCUGAGGACAUGCCUAUUACUUAGCAUUCUAGGAACAGAAGGAUUAAAGGUGGCACUUUCAUUGUUUGUCCUAUGGCAUUACUUGGUCAAUGGAAGGAUGAACUUGAAGCCCAUUCAAAGCCAGAUAGCAUUUCUGUUUUUGUUCAUUAUGGUGGGGAAAGAAGUAAUGACCCUAGAGUGAUAGUAGAAACAGAUGUGGUCUUGACAACCUAUGGUAAGUAAUCCAG